AAGGACCCAGUCUACCACCACCAGGUCAGAGCAGCUCCCUACCUGAGGCUAGUCAGAGUCAGUGUGGUCAGACUUCACAAGGACCCAGUCUACCACCACCAGGUCAGAGCAGCUCCCUACCUGAGGCUAGUCAGAGUCAGUGUGGUCAGACUUCACACGGACCCAGUCUACCACCCCCAGGUCAGAGCAUCUACCAGGCAGUCACUUUCAUGCCCAGUUCAGAAUUUGUAUCAAGGGAUGACACAGAGACCUCUGGUUCUGAGCAAGACAGUUGGGCGGCAGGUAGCCUAGUGGUUAGAGCGUUGGACACCUAACCGAAAGGUUGCAAGAUCAAAUCCCCGAGCUGACAAGUUGAAUAAAGAAAAAAUGAAAAAGAGCUGCCAGGAGAUGUCAUCGAGCUCCUCCCAACUGCAUCAAGCACCAGAUAUGCUGUUCCAUAAGGACCCAAUGACAUUUCAAGAUCCAGAGAAGUGGGUCCUGUACAGCCGUGUUUGAAAACAUUUCCCAGAACUCAGCAUGGUACUAGGAAACGGUCUUUCAUCAGCUCCUGGUAUAAAGACAAUUCAUGGCUUCAAAAUUUGACUUAUGGUUUCACCUGUAGGCAUUUUUCUCUGCCCAAUACACCUUAAUCUGCCUUCACAUCACAGUCAGAUUUUUGUAACUGGAAAAAGGCGCUGUUUAAAGAUUCUGGCUUUAAUCUCCAUUCGAAGGCAGAGCAUCAUAUCAAUGCUAUGUAUGCUUGGAAUCAGCAUAAAAGGACUAUUGACAGCAACUCAUCAAUGUUAGAUGUCAUAAAUGAUGACCGGAAAAAGAAAGUGGAGGAAAACUGUACUUACAUUAAAACAAUUGCAGAUGUGCUCCUAUUAACUGCCACUCAAAAUCUAGUGCAGAGAGGUCAUCGAGAGUCUGAUGACUCUCACAACAAGGGUCAUUUUUUGACAAUCUUAGAAGAAAUAGCAAAGCAUGACCCUCUCAUAGAGAAAAUGAUGAAUGCAUGUGGCAAUGCUAAGUACACAAGCCACCAAAUCCAGAAAGUGACGUUUUUAGUGUAAUUGCAGAUGAAACCAAAGAUUUAAAGAAAAAAGAACAAAUCUCUUCAGUUGUGAGGUACUGUUACAACGGGGCCAUCCACGAAAACCUUUUACACUUUCAGUCAGCUGAAAGCUGCUCUCACAAAAAAAAUGAUAAUUGAUUGCCUUGAAAAACAUGGUCUGGACUACAGAAAUAAUCUUGUGGGGCAAGGCUAUGACGGUGCAUCCAUCAUGAGUGGAAAGCAUUCUGGUGUGUCUGCACGGAUUAAAAACAUUUUAUGUACACUGUAAUCCACAUUGUUUGAAUUUGGUUCUUGUCGAGGCUGUAAAAUCAGUGCCUGAGGCAGUUAACUUUUUUUCUUUCCUGCAGAAGCUUUAUAACUUUGUAUCUGGCUCAUACGUUCAUCUCAAGUGGCUUGCAGUUCAGAAAGAGCUGUAUCCACAGCAGCAGCCCAGGGAACAACAGAGACUUACGGAUGAAUGUAAGGUGGGCAUGCAGAUACAUGGCAUGCAGUAAUCUGAGGGACAGGCUUCCAGCAGUUCUGAGAGUGCUACAGGAUAUCACACUUGAAAAUAGUGGUGAUAGAUCAGUGGAGGCAAGGGGCCUUCUUUCUGAAAUAGAUUUACAUUUCAUAGGGCUUUUGGUUACCUUUUGUAAAGUGCUUGGUGAUGCCAAAUGUCUUUCUGACAUGCUUCAAUCAAGCUCUCUUGACCUAGCAAGGGCUGUGGAUCUAGUAGGUGCCCUUACAGACACAUUACAGGACUACAGAAGUGAGGGUUAAUUUGGAGAACUAUGGAAAGAGGUUGAAGAGAUUGCAGAGCACUGCAAAAUAAUUGUACAAACCGUGUGUAAAACACAGCCUAAAACAAGCUUAAGAUUUCACGACUCAUUGAUGAUGAGCACUGUAGGACAGAAAAAUAGUGACCAAAGUGAUGGUGAGAGCUUCCAAAGAGCUAUCUUUUAUCAGUCUCACAACUGAGCUGCAGAGGAAUUAUUCAAAGAAGAAUUGCGAGAUAAUGCAAGGGGUCCAGUCUCUCAACCCAAAGAGUACAACAUUCUUGAAUGAAGAGCCUCUGUUCGCCUUUGCUCAGACCUUUGAGUCAGAUUUAGAGGACCUCAAACAUGAGGUUCAUCAAACCAAGUGGCUUCUUGAUAGGAGAGAGAAAGGAGGAAGGGACAGACCGUCUACUCUCCUUGACUUUGUUGUGUUUCUAGAACUUUAUAAAGAGGUCUUCCAUGAGCUAUUUCGACUUUGUAAGAUUUCUGUUGUUACACCAGUCAGCAGUGCUUCUUGCGAGAGAAGCUUCUCAGCUUUAAAACUGAUUAAAACCCACCUUAGGACAACAAUGGUUGAUGACAGGUUAAGUCACCUCAGGAAUUCUCAGUGUUGAGUCAAGGAGGGCAUGCUCCCUCAACAUGGAUGAGUUUGUGAAACAUUUUGCCAGUUCUCAACAGAACCGCAGAAUAAUGCUGUUUUAAAUCUACCUAGGAUAAUAUGGCACUUAGGUGGUCCCUCUGGUCAUGAUUAAAACCUGCACUGUGUACUAGCUAGUACACUGACAUUCUAAAAUGAUAAUCCAAAGUAGAGGUCGAACGAUUAUGAUUUUUUUCAGCGCCGAUACCGAUACCGAUUAUUGGAGGGGCCCAACCCAAGUCCGAUACCGAUUAAUCGGCCGAUUAUUAUUAUUAUUAUUGUUAUUU